GAUGAAGAACGCAGCGAAAUGCGAUACGUAAUGUGAAUUGCAGAAUUCAGUGAAUCAUCGAAUCUUUGAACGCAUAUUGCGCUCUCUGGUAUUCCGGAGAACAUGCUUGUUUGAGUAUCAGUAAACACCUCAACUUCCAUAUCUUUUUUGAAAUGGGAGUUGGACUUGAGUGAUCCCAACGCUUUUCCUCACCGAAAAGUGGCGGGUUACUUGAAAUGCAGGUGCAGCUGGACUUUUCUCUGAGCUAUAAGCAUAUCUAUUUAGUCUGCCAAAAAAACAGAUUAUUACCUUUGCUGCAGCUAACAUAAAGGAGAUUAGUUCUUGUGCUGACUGAUGCAGGAUUCACAAAGACGGCUUCGGCCGACUUUGUAAACUCGAUCUCAAAUCAAGUAAGACUACCCGCUGAACUUAAGCAUAUCAAUAAGCGGAGGA
rnacentral:misc_RNA from 1 species